rnacentral:rRNA from 1 species
GAUGAACGCUGGCGGCGUGCCUAACACAUGCAAGUCGAACGGAAGGACGAAACGCUUGCUUGUUUCACGUUAGCGUGGCGGGCGGGUGUAACAUGUGUAUAACCCACCUUUAUGACGGGGGUUAACUCGUGAAAACGGAGCUUAUACCCGCUUAUCUUUUGAAGCGCAUGGUGCGGAAGUUAAGGACGGCCUUCCUGUCGCUUAUCGCAGGUUCCGCGCUGCAUUAGGUAGUUGGUAAGGUAACGGCUUACCAAGGCGACGAUGCAUAGCUGAUCUGAGAGGAUGAUCGGCCACACUGGAACUGAGACACGGUCCAGACUCCUACGGGAGGCAGCAGUGGGGAAUAUUGCACAAUGGGCGCAAGCCUGACGCAGCCACGCCGCGUGUGUGAUGAAGGCCUUCGGGUCGUAAAGCACUGUUAGUGGGGAGGAACAGAUUUGUGUUAAAACGUGCACUUAUUGACGGUACCUGAAGAAGAAGCACCGGCUAACUACGUG